UCUUGCAGUAACAUGCAGUAAUUUACAUACAAAUCUAAUCUCUCACAUUUCAGCAAUUUUCCUUGAAGAUUUGGAGCAACGUGUAAUCUGGAUGAAAAAGGGGAAGAUGAGAGAAUUAAUUGCACUUAAGCACAUCGACAAGACCGAGAGGCCGGACACACACACAGAGGGACGGACGCAAGCUUUUUGUCUUCCUGGAGACGUCAUUCGACACCAGGUUUAGAAUGCAAGGUGUACGUGGCGACCUUCGUGUCAACAUUAGCCUCGACCACAAACAAGAUGCGGCAGCUAUCUUUUCUUUCUCUAGCAGUGUUUGUUCUAGUCCUGUUCAGAGUGAUGAUCUGGCCACCAUUUGUAACUUUACGACUCUGUAUUAAACACUGCGGCAAAAGCCUGCU